rnacentral:lncRNA from 1 species
CACCUUGGGCGCUCGGUGGGAGUUGUGCCGAAAUUAGUGGAAAAGCAGUCCUCAGCUGUACAAUUUUGCAGCCGUGUUAUGCACCUGGGAAAACUACCCUUCAUAUUAGAAUAUCUGUCACAUGCAGCUUGAAAGACACUGCAAGAGUAAAAGGGAUGGGAUCCUUAUUCCUCCUCUGCUGCCCUCUUAGUAAUCGCAAGGGAUCAACGUGUUCCAUGUGAUCAAAGAAAGGUGAAACUUCUGUGACAACAAGAUGAAAACAGGUUUGCACUGCAUCCUGUGGGAUAUUAGAAUGAGCUGCCAAGAAGCUAGAAGACAGGUCUUUCUAGACAAAAUAUCUAGACCAUGGAGCAUAUGGCAGCCUCCAAGGAAGACAACAUGUCUCAGUCUGCUGGAGAACUCUUCCCUUGCAGGCGACUUCUUUGGGAGAUGAAGGGAGAUGCCAGGGAUUUGGAUAACGUUCACUCAUCUCAGUCUUGGGGAAAAAUCUAGAUGGGCUGAUACGUGUUUGAGGACAUUGUGGAUGACCUCCAGGGGGACCGAACUCAUCAGAAAUCAGAUAUUAAAGGGCCGCUUCACCACUCCUGUCCCAUGUGAGAAAUGCAGGCAGAAAAUAAUUCCUGAUAAAUCAAUGUUCGAAAAGAAAAGAAAGAAAAGAAAAGAAGGGAAAAGAAGAGAAAAGAAGAGAAAAGAAGAGAAAAGAAGAGAAAAGAAAAGAAAAGAAAAGAAAAGAAAAGAAAAGAAAAGAAAAGAAAAGAAAAGAAAAGAAAAGAAAAGAAAAGAAAAGAAAAGAAAAGAAAAGAAAAGAAAAGAAAAGAAAUAAUAUAUUGCGAAUGAGGACUCUCAGACAAUACUGUCAAGUCAGAUAAUCAGCUGAGAGGUCAGAGUGCCUUGAGCUGAAUGGUGUCAGAGAUGCGGUGGAAGGUGCUUUGGGCUUGAUACAUCAUCUCUCUUCAGCCUCCCCAAGAAUUUUAAACAGGAAGGGCAAAAGAUGUUUCCAGGAUGAAUUCGUUCAUUCAUAUACAAAUACCCUAAGUCACAAAAAAGGUGUCUUAGCAACAACAGCAGUGCAAUAACGUUGAGUACACCAGUAAGUCUCAUUGAAAUCUCUCAUUGUGUUCUCCUCUUCUUCUUUUGCUGUGCUUUCAUUUCUAUAAUGUUGCUUUUGAGAACUAACACGUAGCAUGUCUGUAUAUUCUACCAUCCCACUGUACCAUAUAUCUCAUUUUAAUGUCGAAUAAUGUUUGUACGAUUGUCAGCUAAUCUAGAUAAACAAAUCCUUGCUUUAAUAAUUUCAUUGCAAAACCAGAACAUUGUUCUAGACACUGUCAUAUUUUUUUUGUACAUUCUGAAACUGCUCUUCCCAGUGCAAUAACGACUUCCAUAUCAAGCAAAGGGAUCAUGCUGCAAAGACUCAAGCAAAUCUGUGCUUUUCUUUAUGUAAAUGCUGAAUGCUUAUUAAGCCUUCACUGUAGUAAGGUAUUUAGCAGUUGAUCAACACAAAUAAAUUUCUUCUGCAAGCUUAGCUGACAAUUUCAGUGGGUUGAUAUCUGAAAGGGUAUUUUAGUUUGUCUCACUGCUGCCUCAUGCACUCAAGUAAUUCAAGAAGGAGGUCAGUGAAUGGGUAGUUAGUGGGAACACUUACUGCAGCUGUAGCUUUUCUCUAAUUUUUCUGUGGAUAAUUUCAUAUAUUUUUGUCUUUAGUGCGUUGCUGUUCCCAUUGCUCUCAUAAGUGGAAAUAAUUGCUUAUAUUUUUUUAAAGUAAAGAAACCAGGAGAUAGCUCCCUAGAAAACAGAGUCACUAAGCUGACUACUUAAAUUAAUAUAAAUAUGACUAAGUAAAGUUUCAUCUGAUAAAGGCAUUAAUGUGAAAUCUGAAAUAAAUGCUCUUGUGUAAAAGAUUGUCAGGGCAAAACUUCAGGGUUUGAUUUUCC